rnacentral:rRNA from 1 species
AAUUCGCCCUUACUCCUACGGGAGGCAGCAGUGGGGAAUCUUCCGCAAUGGACGAAAGUCUGACGGAGCAACGCCGCGUGAGUGAAGAAGGUUUUCGGAUCGUAAAACUCUGUUUUCAGGGACGAAUGUGCAAUAUGUGAAUAAUGUGUUGUAAUGACGGUACCUGACAAGAAAGCCACGGCUAACUACGUGCCAGCAGCCGCGGUAAUACGUAGGUGGCAAGCGUUGUCCGGAAUUAUUGGGCGUAAAGCGCGUGUAGGCGGUUUGUUAAGUCUGUUGUGAAAGCCCUGGGCUCAACCCAGGAAGUGCACUGGAUACUGGCAGACUUGAAUACGGGAGAGGGUAGUGGAAUUCCUGGUGUAGGAGUGAAAUCCGUAGAUAUCAGGAGGAACACCGGUGGCGAAGGCGGCUGCCUGGACCGAUAUUGACGCUGAGACGCGAAAGCGUGGGUAGCAAACAGGAUUAGAUACCCUGGUAGUCCACGCCGUAAACGAUGAGUACUAGGUGUUGCGGGUAUUGACCCCUGCAGUGCCGCAGCUAACGCAUUAAGUACUCCGCCUGGGAAGUACGGUCGCAAGACUAAAACUCAAAGGAAUUGACGG